rnacentral:rRNA from 1 species
GACGAACGCUGGCGGUCUGCUUAACACAUGCAAGUCGAACGGAGUAGAAAUACUUAGUGGCGGACGGGUGAGUAACGCGUGAGAAUCUGCCUUCAGGACGGAGACAACAGUUGGAAACGACUGCUAAGCCCCGAUGAACCGAAAGGGAAAAUAUUUAUAGCCUGAAGAUGAGCUCGCGUCCGAUUAGCUAGUUGGGGGGGUAAGAGCCCACCAAGGCGACGAUCGGUAGCUGGUCUGAGAGGACGAUCAGCCACACUGGGACUGAGACACGGCCCAGACUCCUACGGGAGGCAGCAGUGGGGAAUUUUCCGCAAUGGGCGAAAGCCUGACGGAGCAAGACCGCGUGGGGGAAGAAGGCUCUUGGGUUGUAAACCCCUUUUCUCUGGGAAGAAAGUUGUGAAAGCAACCUGACGGUACCAGAGGAAUCAGCAUCGGCUAACUCCGUGCCAGCCGCCGCAGUAAAAC